rnacentral:rRNA from 1 species
UCCUCAAUUCAAUUAUUUGAGGUAGGACCUGCUCAAUGCAAUACGUAAAUAGCCGCAGUACUUUGACUGUGCGAAGGUAGCAUAAUAAAUUGGCUUUUAAUUGAGGUCUGGGAUGAAUGGUCUGACAAGGAUUUGACUGUCUCAAAAUGAAAUUUUUUGAAAUUGAAUUGUCUGUAAAAAUGCGGACAUGAAAGAGAGGGACGAGAAGACCCUAUAGAUCUUUGAAAGGAUUGAUUUAAAAGUUUUAAAUAUGUUCUUUUUAUUUGGGGAAAAUCCUGAAAAUAAAAUUAAUUAUAAAUUUCGGUUAAAAGUAAAAAUGUAAUUAUUGAUUUUUGAUCCACUAUAGAAGUGAAAGAAUGAAAAAGUUACCUUAGGGAUAACAGGACAAUGAUCUUUAAAGAGGCCUUAUCUUUAAAGACGUUUGUUACCUCGAUGUUGAAUUAAGUUAUCUAAUUAAAGAAGAAGUUCUUAAAGUUGGUCUGUNCGACCAUUAAAAAC